UACGAAGGGGGCUAGCGUUGUUCGGAAUUACUGGGCGUAAAGCGUGCGCAGGCGGCUUCUCAAGUCAGGGGUGAAAGCCCAGAGCUCAACUCUGGAAUUGCCUUUGAGACUGAGUGGCUUGAGUACGAGAGAGGUGAGUGGAAUUCCCAGUGUAGAGGUGAAAUUCGUAGAUAUCAGGAAGAACACCCGUGGCGAAGGCGGCUCUCUGGGACGGUACUGACGCUGAGACGCGAAAGCUAGGGGAGCAAACAGG
rnacentral:rRNA from 1 species